rnacentral:tRNA from 1 species
CGCGGGAUGGAGCAGUUUGGUAGCUCGUCGGGCCCAUAACCCGAAGGUCGUAGGUUCAAAUCCUACUCCCGCAA